rnacentral:rRNA from 1 species
AAUGAACGUUGGCGGCGUGGAUUAGGCAUGCAAGUCGUACGGUAAGCUUCGGCUUAUAGUGGCGAAAGGGAGAGUAACGCGUGGUUACAUGCCCUCGGGACCGGGAUAGCGGCGGGAAACUGCCGGUAAUACCGGAUAAUAUCUUUGGAUCAAAGGUGUGAUUCCGCCCGAGGAUUGGAUCGCGUUCUAUUAGCUUGUUGGCGGGGUAAUGGCCCACCAAGGCGACGAUGGAUACCGGGUGUGAGAGCAUGGCCCGGCUCACUGGGACUGAGACACUGCCCAGACACCUACGGGUGGCUGCAGUCGAGAAUCUUCGGCAAUGGGGGCAACCCUGACCGAGGGACGCCGCGUGCGGGACGAAGGCCUUCGGGUUGUAAACCGCUGUCAGUUGGGAGGAAGUGCCGGGGGGUUCUCCCCUCGGUUUGACCGAUCUUCAGAGGAAGGACGGGCUAAGUUCGUGCCAGCAGCCGCCGUAAGAC